rnacentral:rRNA from 1 species
AAGCGCUCAUGACCAGACUUGGGCUUGGUUGAUCAUCCAGGGUUCUCCCUGGUGCACUCUUCCAGCCCAGGCCAGCAUCAGUUCGCUGUGGGGGAUAAAGGCUUUGGGAAUGUGGCUCCCUCGGGAGUGUUAUAGCCCAUUGCACAAUACCCUGGGGCGGACUGAGGUUCGCGCAUCUGCAAGGAUGCUGGCGUAAUGGUCAUCAG